GACGAACGCUGGCGGCGUGCUUAACACAUGCAAGUCGAACGGAAAGGCCUGUCCUUCCUUGUGUUGGACGGGUACUCGAGUGGCGAACGGGUGAGUAACACGUGAGUGAUCUGCCCCCAACUUGGGUAUAAGCCUGGGAAACUGGGUCUAAUUCCCGAUAGGACUGCAGGGUGGCGCCUGUGGUGGAAAACGAUUUUCUAGUGGUUGGGGAUGAGCUCGCGGCCUAUCAGCUUGUUGGUGGGGUAAUGGCCUACCAAGGCGGCGACGGGUAGCCGGCCUGGGAGGGUGGACGGCCACAUUGGGACUGAGAUACGGCCCAGACUCCUACGGGAGGCAGCAGUGGGGAAUAGUGCACAAUGGGCGGAAGCCUGAUGCAGCGACGCCGCGUGGGGGAUGACGGCCUUCGGGUUGUAAACUCCUUUCGACCGCGAGGAAGCCGCCUGGUUGGAAGGGUGGUGACGGUAGUGGUAGAAGAAGCACCGGCUAACUACGUG
rnacentral:rRNA from 1 species